rnacentral:rRNA from 1 species
AUGGCAUUCCCAACGGGUGGAAGUGGGAUCACACUAAAAAAUACAAACGCAGGACAUUGUAUUCAAAACAACAGCUACAUUGCGUCUCGGCCUCCUCCCUGGCGCUGCGCCAGCGCGGCGUGCGUCCGCCUCCCAUCCCGCGGCCGUGGUGCUGAACUGCGCGGACGUCCUGCCGGAGGCCCUCGCCUUCAUCCAGCGGUUCAAGAGCAAGACGGUGUUGGUGAAGUACGACGGCGCGGCCAUGAAGUCGCCGGAGCUGCAGGCGUCCAUGAUCCGCAACCUUGUCCUCCUCUCCUGCGUCGGCAUGCGCCCGUGCUCGUGCACGGCGGCGGUCCGGAGAUCAACUCCUGGUUGCAGCACAUCGGCGUCGAGCCACAGUUCCGCAAGAUGGUGCUGGUCAGCAAGGACGCACGCCUCCUCACCGCGCGCCCCUCCCCCGACGCCGCAGCCCUCGGGUUCGUCGGCGAGGUGACGCAUGUACACCUCUCCGUGCUCCACCCGAUCAUCGCGUCCGGCCACAUCCCAGUCAUCAUCACCGUGGCCGCCGACGAGACUGGGUAG